rnacentral:rRNA from 1 species
AGUGAACGCUGGCGGUAGGCCUAACACAUGCAAGUCGAACGGCAGCACAGGAGAGCUUGCUCUCUGGGUGGCGAGUGGCGGACGGGUGAGGAAUACAUCGGAAGCUACUUUUUCGUGGGGGAUAACGGAGGGAAACUUGCGCUAAUACCGCAUACGACCUACGGGUGAAAGCAGGGGAUUCGCGGGCCUUGCGCGAUGGAAUGAGCCGAUGUCGGAUUAGCUAGUCGGCGGGGGAAAGGCCCACCAAGGCGAUGAUCCGUAGCUGGUCUGAGAGGAUGAGCAGCCACACUGGAACUGAGACACGGUCCAGACUCCUACGGGAGGCAGCAGUGGGGAAUAUUGGACAAUGGGCGCAAGCCUGAUCCAGCCAUACCGCGUGGGUGAAGAAGGCCUUCGGGUUGUAAAGCCCUUUUGUUGGGAAAGAAAUCCAGCUGGUUAAUACCCGGUUGGGAUGACGGUACCCAAAGAAUAAGCACCGGCUAACUUCGUGCCAGCCGCCGCAGUAA